UAGAAUGAGGUUGUUAAAGUUUAGGAUUUUUUAAUAAAAGAUUAACUGAAGAAUAAGUAGGAGUGUUUAGUUUUAGUAAUGUUUAGAAAAGAAUUAAUUGAGCUAUAGAUUACAGUACCGAAGGGGAAUUUUUUUUUAAUGUGGAAGAACUUUUAAUAAAGGUACCUUUUGUAUCAGGGUUUAUUAAAAACGUUAAAUUAUUUUUGGUUCUCGAAUUAAAAAGACUUUUUUUAUAAUGACUUAUAGUGUUGAAUAGCUAUAAUUAAUUGUGGGAAGGGAGUGAAAAGCUAUACGGUUUUUAAGAUAUCUAGUUUCUUGAGAUUAAAUUUAAUUAGUAGAAGUGUGAAAUUUAUAAAUUUAGUGUAUAGAUUUUAGUACUUUAAUUUAACUAGUAGGGGAUAAGCUCUAUAAGAUUUUAUAAUGAUAUAAAAGGUUGAGCUUGUUAAUUAGGCUUUAGAUUGGCUAAAUUCAAUAAUUUUUUAAUAAAUUAUUAAGUUAAAAAUUGAAAGAUUUUUUUGUGUCUUAUGAUUUAAUCAAGAUUAUUUUUUUAAUGAUAAAAAAUGUGUAAAAAUGAUGGAAUGAGUAUAGGAUUAAAUAAAAAGUAAGAUGGGGGGCUAGAUUUAAUCUAGGAACUCGACAAAAUUAGCUUCCGCCUGUUUAUCAAAAACAUGUCCUUUAGGAUAAAAUAGAAGGUCGGGCCUGCACACUGCUAGGGUAAAGAGCCGCGGUAAUUUGACUGUGCAAAGGUAGCAUAAUCAUUAGUCUCUUAAUUAGGGAAUGGAAUGAAAGGUUUGACGUAGAGGCUGGUUUUCUUGAUUAAGAUUAGUAGAAAUUUAUAUUUGAGUGAAAAAGCUUAGUUGAAUAUUAAGGACGAGAAGACCCUAUAGAGUUUAGUAUGAAAAAGUUCAUUAAGUAAAGUUAAAUAAUUACUUAUCGGAUUAUUUUGUACUUAGUUGGGGUGACGGAAAGAAUAAAUAAACUCUUUUUAUUAUUGACAUUAAUAAGUGGAAGAAUUGAAAUAUGAUCCAAUAAUAAUGAUUAAAAGAAUAAAUUACCUUAGGGAUAACAGCGUAAUCACUUUUUGGAGAAGGAAUUUUCGAAGUGGGUUGCGACCUCGAUGUUGGAUUAAGAUAAUCUGUAGGUGCAGAAGUUUACAGGUAAGGUCUGUUCGACCUUAGAAUCUUACAUGAUCUGAGUUCAGACCGGCGUGAGCCAGGUCGGUUUCUAUCCUAAUAUUAAUUUAUUAGUUUAGUACGAGAGGACCAACUAUUAGAAUGAUAUUUUAUUUUAAGAAAGAUAGAUGA
rnacentral:rRNA from 1 species